rnacentral:rRNA from 1 species
AUGGCGUGCGAUCCUAACGAGCUAGCGGCUCCGCCGAUCGAACUUGCAGUUGCCAGACACGCGCGGCGGCACGGCGGCGACAGGCGAGGGCGCGGAUAUCGUUCUCGAGUACGAGAUCACUCUCGACCACCUGACGUUCCUCAAGGUGGUGAACUUCCCAGGGAGGAGGCCCGAGCUGCGGCUGCUAAGGUUUGUCCUGCGCAGGGCUCCUGUCCUCGAGCUGUCGAGCAGCUGGUGCUCGUCACCCCGGAAGACGUGGGAACUCCGGGAGACCAUGAACACCAGGACAACGUCCGCCUGCUCCUUAAGGUCGUCCAAGAGCAUGUGUCAGAGAUCAGCAAGGCGUGGCUCUGGCAGGAGCCCCGCGUCACCGUGUGCCGGCCGAGGGAGGACGACAGCCGGAGCCCUGCACACACCAAGUACUACCACCAUGACCAGGCGUAG